UAUCUCUGUAGAGUCUGCAUAUCAAUAAGCGGAGGAAAAGAAACUAACUAGGAUUCCCUCAGUAACGGCGAGUGAAGCGGGAAGAGCUCAAAUUUGAAAUCUUCAAGGUUCUACCUUGACGAAUUGUAGUUUAAAGAAGUGUUUUCUGUUGGAGUUUUGGUAAAAGUUCUUUGGAAUAGGACAUCAUAGAGGGUGAGAAUCCCGUAUUUGACCAUUAUUUCCAGCUUUGUGAUACACUUUCAAAGAGUCGGAUUGUUUGGGAAUGCAGUCCAAAAUGGGUGGUAAAUUUCAUCUAAAGCUAAAUACUGGCGAGAGACCGAUAGCGAACAAGUACCGUGAGGGAAAGAUGAAAAGAACUUUGAAAAGAGAGUUAAACAGUACGUGAAAUUGUCAAAAGGGAAGCGUUUGACACCAGUGUUGUUUUCUCGAAAAUCAAUUAAAAAAGUCAGGAUUUUGUAUUGUAAUUGACUUAUCAGCUUUACUGCUACUCUUUUCUUGUCUUUUUUAAUGCACUUUUCGUUUAACAAGUCAACAUCAAUUUCUUUUGUUGUAAAAGAGUCAUUGGAAGGUGGCUUUCACUUUCGGUGAAAGUGUUUAUAGCCUUUGGCCUCUGCAAUCGGAGAGAUUGAGGUCUGCAGCGUAGAUCCUUCGGGGUUAGAUACAGUUAGAUGCUAAGUUAUAGCCUUUUCAUAGACAACUUGUUGACUAUAAUCAUCAUGUAGCUUACUCGCUUAUGGCUAUUUUACCUACGCUUAGGAUGUUGAAGUCAUCGUAUCGCGC
rnacentral:rRNA from 1 species